rnacentral:lncRNA from 13 species
AUGUCCUUGUCAUAUAUAUAUUUUUUGUUCUGCCCACCAGGAAAUCCCACUGCUCCACAAUCCUCUCCAUCUCCUGAGGAAGAGCCAUUGGACCUGAGUCCAAAGAAGAUCUACUGCCAUAACUGUGGCUGGAGAGAUUCCCUUAGAAAUUCGUCCUUCUGUGUCCAGUGCCUUGUGGUCCUUAGGGAUCCUGUUCUGAACCUCUCCAUUGACAUGAAACCAAACCUGAGUCAGACGACUGCUGAGCCCACCUGGGAUAUUCCACUUCAGCUCCCCUCUCCUGACACCAUAGAUCUGGGCUUCUCCUCGUUUUCCUUUCCACCAUCCCUGGAGGCAAACCAGAGUGUCUUCCAGACCCCUGAGCCUGAUGUGGUGUCCCCGGGUCCCUUGCUGUGCCGAUUAUGCCAAGAAACUUUUGCUCUGCCUAUUCUUCUGCACCAUCAUGUCAAGGAAAGGCACCUUCAUUCGUGCAACAUGUGUUGCCGCAUAUUCAAGAAUGACAUGCUCCUCAUCAGACACCAGGUCAACAUGCACAGCUUAGCUCUGCCUCGCUAUCCUCGGCCUGCCUUCUCCAAACGUGGCCCAGGCCGGCCUAAAGGCGUUGCUCAUAUGCUGCUGAAACCCUACACCCGCCCCAAACCUACUCAUGUCUGCCUGGCCUGCUCUCGAGAGUUCUGGUCACCAGGCGUGCUCCACAAACACAAGUGCAACCCUCGACUGGUCCAGUGUACCACCUGUGGGGGCUAUUUUGGCAGCCAUCAUUUGUUCUGCAAGCACAAAAGCCAGAACCUCUGCAGCAAUUCCUGGAGGGCCAUAGGGAAGGCAAUGGCUCAGGCAGCAUAUGCAGCAGCUCAGGCAGCACACAGAGCAAACUCAACAAACCCACAGAGGGAGAGUUCAGGUGCCACCUUCCAGAUCUUGGAGAUAAACUUCACCACUCCUCAUCACAGUGACUCUUCAUUACCCUCCAGCAAUGAGGAGGAGGAGCUGCAGAGUAUGGAUCGUUCAGGUGCAGAAUCCCCUUCUGCAUAG